ACCCCUAAACAUGAAUAACCCAGUCAAGAAUCCAUAAGAAUAAAACUUUCAACAACGGAUCUCUUGGUUCUCGCAUCGAUGAAGAGCGCAGCGAAAUGCGAUACCUAGUGUGAAUUGCAGCCAUCGUGAAUCAUCGAGUUCUUGAACGCACAUUGCGCCCCCUGGUAUUCCGGGGGGCAUGCCUGUUUGAGCGUCGUU
rnacentral:rRNA from 1 species